rnacentral:rRNA from 1 species
CAGAGGUCCCAAGCGUUGUUCGGAUUCACUGGGCGUAAAGGGUGCGUAGGCGGUCGGGUAAGUCUGAUGUGAAAUCUUCAAGCUCAACUUGGAAACUGCAUCGGAUACUAUUCGGCUCGAGGAAUGGAGGGGAGACUGGAAUACUUGGUGUAGCAGUGAAAUGCGUAGAUAUCAAGUGGAACACCAGUGGCGAAGGCGAGUCUCUGGACAUUUCCUGACGCUGAGGCACGAAAGCCAGGGGAGCAAACGGGAUUAGAUACCCCGGUAGUCCUGGCCCUAAACGGUGCGCAUUUGCUGUAAGAGGAAUCGACCCCUUUUGUGGCGAAGCUAACGCGUUAAAUGCGCCGCCUGGGAAGUACGGCCGCAAGGUUA